GUUCACUUUGCAGCACAUAUACUAAGGUUGGAACAAUACAGGGAAGAUCAGCAUGGCCCCUGCACAAAGAUGACAUGCAAAUUCCUGAAACAUUCCAUACAAGU